rnacentral:tRNA from 1 species
AUUUAAAUAAUUUAAAUAAAAUAUUGAUUUGUGGAAUCAAAAAUGUAUAAUUUUACUUUAAAUA